UGCUAUCUUGGUCAGAGUGUUUGCCUCCUC
rnacentral:piRNA from 1 species